CUCAGAGAUGCCUGGCUGUGGAAGCAGUGCCUACUUUGCCUUUCACAGCAUUUUAAAUAGAAUAGAAUAGGUAAAUUUAGGUACAAAAAUAUAUUAUUUUCCCCAUAGGACUUAACAUAAUUAGUUCAUUUUGAUGGAGGGGGAGGAAAUGCAGCCCAGGACUAUCUGUUUUCUCUAGAACUGUGCCAUACAAAAAAGAAAAGAGAGGGGGAAAAAAAACUCCCCACCAGCGCAGCAUAGAAAAACGUCUUGGCCCCUCAUUUGUGAAACAGUCGCCAUGGGAGCAAAGAACUUUCUCUUGUGACUCCUUUAGAAUGCAGGCUGCAUGCAGCCAGUGAACCCUUAUUCAUUUUAGGCAACAAAUCUUGGGUCCCUGCUAGGCAGAGGGCCAUGUGGCCCACAUAGAAGAAGAAACACCGAGUCCUCGGCCUCCUGAAGCUGCUGCGCUGUGGUGCUGUGAUGCACACGGGCAGCAAAGACCCAGAGGUGGAAGACUGAGUGCCUGCUACCAGCUGAGUCCUAAGAUGUGACUCAACUAUACUCUGCUGCAUCUACCUCUCCAUGGCAAAGCCAGAAUGAAACCGGGGACCUAGACACAGACUCCCAAAGGAGCCAGGAGUGAGAGCAGGUGAGCGAGGGCCAGCCCACCCAAGAAUGGUGUUGGAGCAGCUGGGCCACCAACGGCAGCCACAACAGGAAUAGUUCACCUACCCCAAACCUCACACCUGAUGCAGGUCGAUCAUUAACUCAAGAACAGGAAACUCUCGACAUACUUAGAGAAAGCAGGGAAGAAAAUAUCUGUGAGCAUGGCUCAGGUAAAGAGUUCUUAGGCAAAACACCAAAGAGUAAACCAGACAGUUGGUUUGGACCUCACCGACAUCAACAGUCUCCACUCUGUGAAAAGCUGAAGGGAUGACGGGUAAGCUGGAAAGGAAGAGAAAAGCUGACUGGAUUUUUCAGUUUCCUUAUUGCUGUGACCAACAAAGGACAACUCAGGGAGCUGGAGAGAUGAGCGCAGAGGUGAGGAGCACCGGAUGCUCUUCUGGAGGACCCAGGAUCAAUUCUCAGCACCUAAAGAAGUCUGUGCUGGAGAAGUUUCUAUCACGGUGGACAAAGACUGGAAAUGACUCAACUCCCAUGAUCAGGUGAAUGGCCAGCAGACUGUGUGUACCCGCGCCAGCGUGAGUGGCCGGCCACCAGCAGUAAAAGGGAGAAAAUGAGUGAUUCCUACAGUUUCAAAAAGCAUCAUGCUGCCGAAAAAAGCCAGGCACAAAAGACGGACGACGUGCUGUACGAUUUCUUUCAUAGAAUAGGAGCCGGAAAAAGAACAAGGACUGCCUGGAGCCAGGGUUGUGGAGAGGCUGACGGCAAAAGAGCAUGAAGGAAUUUUUUUUUUUUGUUAAUGAUGGAAAUGUGAUAUGCUAUACUGGAAGGGUAGUCACAUGAUAUCCAUGAGUCAAAAAUAAAAAAUGUUCACUAGG
rnacentral:lncRNA from 1 species